rnacentral:piRNA from 1 species
CCCUUGCAGUAAGCAAUAGGAUGCCAUGGU